rnacentral:misc_RNA from 1 species
AAGGGUCAAUCUGAGAAGACGAAGGUGGUCGUGCGCCACUUGCCACCGACGAUUUCUCAGGUCACUUUAAUGGAGCAAAUCGACGUUGCUUUUGCUCGGCGUUAUAACUGGGUGUCGUUUCGUCCUGGCAAGAACAGCCAGAAGCAUCAAUCCUAUUCUAGAGCCUACAUUGACUUCAAAAGGCCAGAAGAUGUUAUUGAGUUUGCAGAAUUUUUUAAUGGCCAUCUCUUUGUCAAUGAGAAGGGCACUCAGUUUAGAGCUAUUGUUGAGUAUGCUCCUUCACAGGGUGUUCCAAAGCAGUGGUCUAAGAAGGAUGGUCGAGAAGGCACCAUAUUAAAAGAUCCUGCUUAUUUGGAGUUCCUGGAAUUAAUAUCAAAGCCUGCUGAGAAUCUUCCCAGUGCAGAGAUACAAUU